CCUUCAAAACUAAUGGAUGUUAACAGAACAGAUAGACAUGGGAUUGAUUUAAUUCCAUCUUUUGAGAUGCCUUAGUGUUAUGCUACUAAUUUGUUAUAAUUAUUGGAAAUGAAUUAUUCAUUUUUUUUAACAAUGAUUAUAAGUGCAUCUUCUUCUGUGAUACAGGCUUCUUUUAAGUUUAUAGAAAUGGUGUAGUUAACUUAUUACUUUGGUGAAACCUGAUUUUUCUUGAUGUGUCUUAUAGGUAAGUUCAGCUGAUGCAGAAAAGUUUUGCCUGGCUUUUCAACAAUUUCACAAGAAACUUGUCUAUGAGGGACUAAAUUUGGAUACGGCUAGGAGCUACAUCAACUCAUCAAAGAGUUUGGAGGCAACAAAAGUUUGGACUAAAUUGAUCAAUUGUUGAAUAUAUAUAUGUGUGUGUGUGUUUUGUUCUAUUUUUACUGGCUCUGAAGAAGUUUCCAUUCUGGUUUCAGAUUGUGGUUCUUUUGGUGCUCUCAAUGAUGCAGUGAUACAAGAAAACAGGGGAGGGGAGGAUUCACUGCAAAGGGUUACAAUGUAACCUGUUUGAUCUCUGUUUUGAUUUUCCAUGUGGAGAAAGGAAGUUUAAUGCUGUGUGGCUUUCUAUAUUACUUUUAUUCUUCUGGGAUGAGGUCUUUGGGAAGAUCUGCAGUUUCUAUGUUCAUCAGUUAUUGUUUCUCCCCAACAACGAUGGGAGAUGAAAAAAUAGAAUUGGAUACUGCUACGUGCUGCCUUUCCCAAUCAAUGACAGUUUAUAAAUUAUGCAGCCUUUGUGUGGAGUAAAUUCUCCAAUGAGAUUCUAUUGAGGCUUUCUUUCCAUCUUCUG